rnacentral:rRNA from 1 species
AGAGUUUGAUCCUGGCUCAGGAUGAACGCUUGCGGCAGGCUUAAUACAUGCAAGUCGAACGGUAACAGGCCUUCGGGUGCUGACGAGUGGCGGAUGGGUGAGUAACGCGUAUGCAACCUACCUCGUGUCGAGAAAAAGUCGACUGAAAAGUCGAUUAAAGUUUCGUAGUGUACAGGCUACGCAUGUAGCUUGUAUGAUAGACGCAAGUUGGCGCGAGAUGGGCAUGCGUAUCAUUAGCUAGUUGGUAGGGUAACGGCCUACCAAGGCGACGAUGAUUAGGGGUCCUGAGAGGGAGGUCCCCCACACUGGGACUGAGACACGGCCCAGACUCCUACGGGAGGCAGCAGUAGGGAAUAUUGGUCAAUGGGCGGAAGCCUGAACCAGCCAUGCCGCGUGAUGGACGACGGCCUUCGGGUUGUAAACAUCUUUUCUGCUAGAGGAAUAUAGCUUAUGUAUAGGCAGAUGACUGUAUAGCAGGAAUAAGGAUCGGCUAACUCCGUGCCAGCAGCCGCGGUAAUACGGAGGAUCCGAGCGUUAUCCGGAUUUACUGGGUUUAAAGGGUGCGCAGGCGGGCUCUUAAGUCAGUGGUGAAAAGCCUAGGCUUACCCUAGGUCGUGCCAUUGAUACUGGGAGUCUUGGAUAAGUAUAAGGAAGGCGGAAUGCGUAGUGUAGCGGUGAAAUGCUUAGAUAUUACGUAGAAGACCGAUUGCGAAGGCAGCUUUCUGGGUCUUAAUCGACGCUCAAGCACGAAAGCGUGGGUAGCGAACAGGAUUAGAUACCCUGGUAGUCCACGCCGUAAACGAUGAUCACUCGCUCUUGGCGAUAUGCUGUCAGGGGCCAAGCGAAAGCGUUAAGUGAUCCACCUGGGGAGUACGGCCGCAAGGCUGAAACUCAAAGGAAUUGACGGGGGCCCGCACAAGCGGUGGAGUAUGUGGUUUA